AGUUCUUUAUCAAGUUGUAGUACUUGAAAUGUUUCUCGUUUCUUAAUUUUUAAAAUAAAAUUGUGAAAUCUAGUGGGCAUUUUUCACACUUCAUAACCGCAGGAGCCACUAGAAAUAUUUUAGGGGUAAAGCACCUGUUUACUGGUGGUGUACCACUGUGGCUUGUGAAGAGGUUUCCAGCCCAAUCCCCCGCCAGGGUCGGUGUGUCGGGCGCGGCCUGAGUUGCAGAAGAUGAUCCCUCGGGUAGCCACAGAGGCUGCAUACUGCUGUAGGGCUGAACGGGACUGCCAAGACCAUAUGUUGAAGUUACUGGGAGCCAGCUACUUUAAAGCUGAGAUGUUGGACAACCAGUUCCAGCAGCUACACCUGGCCCUGAGGUUGUCAGUCACUGAGGGAGUGCAACAAAUGUUCCAGACAUAUAUAACAAACAAAGAGAUGCAGGUUUGUACUUGA